rnacentral:rRNA from 1 species
AGUGAACGCUGGCGGUAGGCCUAAUACAUGCAAGUCGAACGGCAGCACAGUAAGAGUUUGCUCUUACGGGUGGCGAGUGGCGGACGGGUGAGGAAUACAUCGGAAUCUACUUUUUCGUGGGGGAUAACGUAGGGAAACUUAUGCUAAUACCGCAUACGAUCUACGGGUGAAAGCAGGGGAUCUUCGGACUUUGCGCGAUUGAAUGAGCCGAUGUCGGAUUAGCUAGUUGGCGGGGUAAAGGCCCACCAAGGCGACGAUCCGUAGCUGGUCUGAGAGGAUGAUCAGCCACACUGGAACUGAGACACGGUCCAGACUCCUACGGGAGGCAGCAGUAGGGAAUAUUGCGCAAUGGGCGCAAGCCUGAUCCAGCCAUGCCGCGUGAGUGAAGAAGGCCUUCGGGUUGUAAAGCCCUUUUAUUGGGAAAGAAAAACAGCAGGUUAAUACCCCGCUGUUCUGACGGUACCCAAAGAAUAAGCACCGGCUAACUUCGUG